UUGAAAGGGAAACGAUUGAAGUCAGUCAUACCAACGGGAAAUCAACCUCUUGAGUUUGGUCUUGUGGGUUUCGAAGAGUUUAAAAACCUUCGGAUUUUGCGAGGAUUGGGCUCUUCUGGUGUACUUUCUCGUACGGUUAGUCAACAUCGGUUUUGAAUGUCAUAAAAAGGCUGGAGGGAUGUGGCUCCUUCGGGAGUGUUAUAACCUUUGGCGGAAUGCGGUGGACGGGAUUGAGGAUUGCAACGAAUACCUUCAGGGCUGUUCCACCUGGCCUCUCGUUGGUAUCCUGGCGGCGACAGCUUGCUGACGUCGUUAGGGUCCGCCUUCGAACAGGCUAGAGUGUGAGCAAAUUCGUUAAGGAUGUUGACGUA
rnacentral:rRNA from 1 species